rnacentral:rRNA from 1 species
GCCGGUGAUUAUGGCGGUGAGGCCACACCCGUUCCCAUUCCGAACACGGUAGUUAAGCUCACCAGCGCCCAUGGUACUGCGCGGGCAACUGCGUGGGAGAGUAGGUCAUUGCCGGCU